rnacentral:lncRNA from 10 species
ACGACAGAGUGGCAUGGGCUCUCAGAGGAGGGCGCGGUCACGGCUGAUUGGUGGGACCUGGGAACUCGCGCUGGAGGAGUUUAGACUGUGGAUUAAAACAUAAGCCCUCAGGAGACACAGACUGUCGUUUCCUCUGCAAGACACUGCCUGGCACAGCUACUUUGAAGAUUCUUAACCAUCCUUGGGGAUAAGAAAUGACAGUCAGGAUGUGAUAAUUGCUACUCUCCUGGUAUUGGGUCAGUAAGUGUUUGUGGAAUGAGGAAGGAUGAGAGAACUGGGAAGAUGGAUGAGGAGAUGGCACCUCCAGUUUUCCGAUAACUUAAUGAGGAAGAGAAUAGAUUUGGCUAAGAAGACACUAAGAUGCUUUCAGUCUUUUACUUAAUUCCUUAGGAAGAUAGAAGGUAAUGAAAAAAAUUGUCAAUUUUGUGACAGGAUGUGUCUACAUGAGAGACUUUCCCACGAAUAGCAUAACUUACCUAAUAUAAUACCUUGUAUUAUAUUCUGAUUUACAAAGUACUGAUCAUCUUAUUAAAUGUUAGAGAAAUACAAA